rnacentral:rRNA from 1 species
CCCUUAGAUGUUCUGGGCGGCCCGCGCACUACAAUGGCGUGUGCAGCGAGUGCCGAAGUAGAGUUUUCCGAGGUAUUCUUGCAAUGCUCGUUUUGAUGGGGAUAGACCCUUGCAACUGUUGGUUUUGAACGAGGAAUUCCUUGUAAGCAUGGUUUAUCAUCCGACGCUGAAUGCGUCCCUGCCCUUUGUACACACCGCCCGUCGCUCCUACCGAUGGGUCGUCCGGUGAAGUUCGUAGACCUCGUGAUCGCGGAUCACUGGGGGAAGCAAAAUGAACCUCGCGGUUUAGAGGAAGGAGAAGUCGUAACA